rnacentral:rRNA from 1 species
AUUGAACGCUGGCGGCAGGCCUAACACAUGCAAGUCGAACGGCAGCACAGGAGAGCUUGCUCUCUGGGUGGCGAGUGGCGGACGGGUGAGGAAUACAUCGGAAUCUACUCUGUCGUGGGGGAUAACGUAGGGAAACUUACGCUAAUACCGCAUCCGACCUACGGGUGAAAGCAGUGUAUCUUCGGACCUUGCGCGAUUGAAUGAGCCGAUGUCGGAUUAGGUAGUUGGCGGGGUAAAGGCCCACCAAGGCGACGAUCCGUAGCUGGUCUGAGAGGAUGAUCAGCCAAACUGGAACUGAGACACGGUCCAGACUCCUACGGGAGGCAGCAGUGGGGAAUAUUGGACAAUGGGCGCAAGCCUGAUCCAGCCAUACCGCGUGGGUGAAGAAGGCCUUCGGGUUGUAAAGCCCUUUUGUUGGGAAAGAAAUCCAGCUGGCUAAUACCCGGUUGGGAUGACGGUACCCAAAGAAUAAGCACCGGCUAACUUCGUGCCAGCAGCCGCAGUAA